GACGAACGCUGGCGGUGUGCUUAACACAUGCAAGUCGAGCGAUGAAACACCUUCGGGUGCGGAUUAGCGGCGAACGGGUGAGGAACACGUGAGGAAUCUGCCUUCCACUCUGGGAUAACUCCGGGAAACCGGGGCUAAUACCGGAUACUUUCAACUGGCGGCAUCGCCGGUUGAAGAAAGUUUUUCGGUGGAAGAUGACCUCGCGGCCUAUCAGCUUGUUGGUGAGGUAAAGGCUCACCAAGGCGACGACGGGUAGCCGGCCUGAGAGGGCGACCGGCCACACUGGGACUGAGACACGGCCCAGACUCCUACGGGAGGCAGCAGUGGGGAAUAUUGGGCAAUGGAGGAAACUCUGACCCAGCGACGCCGCGUGUGGGAUGAAGGCCUUCGGGUUGUAAACCUCUUUCAGCAGGGAAUAAGCGAAAGUGAAGGUACCUGCAGAAGAAGCACCGGCUAACUAUGUGCCAGCAGCCGCGGUAA
rnacentral:rRNA from 1 species